rnacentral:tRNA from 1 species
GUCCGUGUAGAACAGCAGUAGUUCGCUGGCCUCUCAACCCAGCCACGCGGGUGCAAAUCCCGCCACGGAUCCCA